GGAUGUGAGGGCGAUCUGGCUACGACAUCUGUCACCCCAUUGAUAGCCAGGGUUGAUGUGGCUGAUCUAGCUGGCUAGGCUGGUGUCCCCUUCCUCCCUCACCGCUCCAUGUGCGUCCCUCCCGAAGCUGCAUGCUUGGUUGAAGAGGAUGACCUUCCCGGAAUAGAGAUGGACUGGUCUUCAGUCGAGGGUAUACGAAGCUGCGUUCCCCUGCUAGAACCUCCAAACAAGUUCUCAAGGAAAUGGAGAAUUUGAGCUGGUGUGUGAGUUAAUGAGAUCACUUGGAGCUCCAGAGUCCCCUCAGCUCU
ensembl:misc_RNA 7SK 7SK RNA